GGUUCAAGACAUGAUGAGAAACUACAACAAUAUCACAGGAGUUACACUCCUGUGAUUUGUAGUUUAAAGUCUGAUGAUU
rnacentral:snoRNA from 1 species